UUCCAAAGUGGUGUUCUGCGUACCAACUGCAUUGAGUGUUUGGACCGCACAAUUGAUGCUCAAUAUGCUUACGGUUUGGAAGCUUUAGGCCACCAACUUCAUGCAAUGGGUUUGACAGACAUGCCGAUAUUGGAUCCUAACAGUAGCAUUGCAACUGCACUAAUGGAUAUGUAUCAGAGCAUAUGUGAUGCUCUCGCGCAACAGUAAGGUGGUUCUGAAGCUCAUUACACUGUGUUCACAGAGAGGCAGGGGAAGUGGAAGGCUACCACCCAAUCCAAAGAGUUUCUCAAGUCCAUCAAAAGAUAUUACAGUAACACCUACACUGAUAGCGAAAAGCAAGAUGCAAUUAACUUAUUUUUAGGUUAUUUCCAGCCACAAGAGGGAAAACUAGCUUUUUGCAG